UUUUUUUGCUAAGAUAGUUAUGGCCUAUGGAUUUGAAUUGGAUUUUGUAGUUUUUUUUUUUCAUUAGUUAGUCAAAGAUAUUUGAGGUCUAUCACAUUCUUCCCAUACUGAAUGAAAUAUAGUAUUAUUUUAUUUCUUCUUGCAAUUUUUUUGUUUGUUUUUUCUCAGCUUAAAAUAGGAGUACUCAUUCUUAUGCCAAAGAGUAUGAAAAGUCCCAGGAAGAAUUUGGCAUUUUUUCCUAGAGAAUACAUUUUACUUGAGGAAAAUUGUCAGUUGCAAAAUGGGGGAGGCUAAUUAAUUUAACACAUUUUUAUGUUAAAAUAAAUAUGCUAUAUUGUGCUAGAAUUUAUACAUAUUAAAAAAGAAUAGCACACAAGUCUUCAAAUAGCUAUUGAGCUGGCUGCCAGAAUUUUCAGCUUCUCAUUCUGUCUCUGGGUGAGAUUUAUGCUUUCUAAAACUGGUCUUAAAGAUGGGGCAUUUAUACCUGUCACUCUGGAUGCUAUUCUAAACAGACAUCAAGAAGAUGUCAUAACAGAAUCACAAGCCCCAAAAUAAAACCACGCAUAUAUGGUCAGCUAAAGUUUGUCAAGGGAGCUAAGAAUACUCAGUGGAGAAAAGACAAUAUCUUCAAUAAAUGGUGCUGGUGCAGGGAAAAUUAGAUAUUCACAUGCGAAAGAAUGAAACCAGACCCCUAUACUACACCACUCACAAAAACUAACUCAAAAUGGAUUACACACUUAAAUGUAAGCCCUAAAACCAUAAAAUUCCUGGAAGAAAGCACGGACAAAGAACAUGAGUCUUGGCAAUGACUUUUUGGAUAUGAUACCUAAAGCUCAAGAAACAAAAUAAAAAAUGAACAAGUGGGACUACCCAAACUAAAAAAAAAACUUGUUCACAGCAGAAGAAACAAUCAAGAAAUAAAAAGGCAUCUUAUGGAAUAGGAAAAUAUUUGCAAACCACAUUUCUUAGAUGGAGUUAAUAUCCAAAAUUCAUGACACUCAUACAAUUAAUACCCUAACCCACAAAUAAUCCAAUUGAAAAAUGAGCAAAAGGCCUGAAUAGAUAUUUUUCAAAGAAGAUAUCCACACGUCCAACAAGUACAUGGAGAGGUAUACAAUGUAAUUAAAGGUCAAGAAAAUGAAAAUCAAAACCACGAUAUCGGUUCACACCUCUUAGAAUAGCUAUAUCAAAAAGAACAGAGGUGACAAGUAUUGGCAGAGAAAGGGAACACUUGUGCAUUUUUGGUGGGAAUGUAAAUUGAUAGAGACACUAUGGAAGACAGUAUGGAAGUUCUUCAAGGAAGAAAGAAAGAGAAAAAGAACUGUAUAACCCAGCAAUUCCACUGUGAAAUAAGUCAGAGACAGAAAGAUAAAUAGUAUAUGAUCCCAUAUGUAUGCGGAAUCUUAAAAAAAAAACAAAACCCAAAUUCAUAGAAACAGAGAUCAAAUUGGUGUUUGCCAGAGAUGAGAUUCAAGGAGUUGGGGGGGAAAUGGAUCAAGGUGGUCAAAAGGUACAAACUUCCACUCAUAAGAGAAAUAUGUUCUAGGAUGUAAUGUAAAGCAUGAUGACUAUGAUUAAAAUGCUGCAUUGUUUUUUGAAAUUUGCUAAAAGUGAAUCUUAAAAGUUCUCAUUACAAGGAAACAAAUCUGUGACUAUGUGAGGUAAUGGCUGUUGACUGAACUUGUAACUGUUUUGCAAUAUAUGCACUCAUCAAAUCAUUGCUAUACACUUUAAAUUUAUACAGUUUUCUAUCAAUUAUAUCAUUAAAACUAGAAAUAAAGGGAGUUCCCACCAUAGCACAGUCAGUUAAGAAUCUGACUGCAGUGGCUGGGGGUGCUGCGGAGGUGUGGGUUUGAUGCCCAGAUGGGUACAGGGGCAAAGGAUCCAAUAUUGCCACAGUUGCAGUGUAGGUCGCAGCUGUGGCUCAGAUUCAAUCCCUGGUCCAGGAACUUCCAUAUGCCACGAGUGUGGCCAUAAAAUUAAACAAAAACAAAAACAAAACCCAGAAGUAAAGAUGUCAAACCGCCCAAAGCGGUACUUUAUACUAUGUUCACUACCUCACCUUCACCACACUCUUAUCAUAGAAGCACCUGUAAAAUGACAGUGAUUAUCUUACCACGUAACAAUUAUUUCAUGUCUCUUCAAAAUAUGAGUGUCUUGAGAGGAGGUUUUAUUUUCCUAAUUAUUUCUACAUCCACAGCUCCUAGCUCCUGUCAUGAAAAAAGUAUUUAAUGCGUGUGUUUUGGAGGAAUGAAUGUAGGAAUGAGUGUUAGGGACUCUCCAGGACAGACCGUAACUCAUGCACUCUGAUAAUGAGCCUAGGGUUACCCUCAUGUUUAGUCUGGGGUGAAAGUGGGCAUUACUGCGAGGUGAUGUGCUAGGCUGUGGAGUUAUAUGAGAACAAAUCUCACAAAUUUCUGCAGGGCAGAAACAAGGAGAGUGUCCUGGAAAAUCAAAUCUGGUCCAAUAAAGGGACUAGAUUUUUUACAUUAAAGAAGUGUAUGUACUGCAGAUUUACUGGAAGGAGAGACUCUGUCCAUGAUCAUCUACUCUCUGGCAGCCAGACAAAGGGCAGAAAAAUAAUACAGUGAAAAUAAUAUGCUUUGAAGGCUCUGUCACUGACCACAACUGAAUUAACCUUUGCAGUCAUCACGUGUGUCAUUAUUCCAGUAACUUAUGACCAAAAGAUUGCAUCAUUCAGACCAUAAGCAUAUUAGGUCAUCUUUGCCAUGGUGCAUUUUAUCAGGCAUCCAGACAUGGUCUGGGAGUUAGUGUAUUUUUUGACUGGUAAAGGAUGAAUUGACAAUGAAAAUAAAGUGAGUUUUGCACAUGGAAGUUGAGCCUGAAUUACAGAGCAGGUGACUAUGUCUAAGUUUGGAAGAGAAGAGGAUUUCAUCUAUGUAACAAAUAUUAUAAUGCUAUGUAUGUGCUAAGCACUGUUCCAACCAAAAGAGGGGCAAAAUGAAAUAUGAGUAACAUCUCAAAUAAAUAUCAAAAUAUUUGCUUUUCAAUGAUAUGUAUAUUUAAGAAAUUUGAAGUCUGAACAACUUUACACUUUGUCCUUUAUAAUAGAUAUUUUAUGGUAGGUAUUCAAUGAAUGAUGCAGGAGCGUAUACCUCCCUGAAGAGUGAAGAGAAACAUUUUCUCUACCUAUCCUGACCCUGCCUGAUGAAAGAUCUGAGGCAUCAGUACGUAAUAGAACAGUAACUUUCACAUUCCAAUUGCAAAUUUAAGUUGCAGGCAAUCCAAGAAUGGACCAUGGGCUUAAUAUACCCUGGUUACAACCCACGUCUACCACUGAGGAGUCAUGUGAGCCUUGGGCAAUGUACUUUGACUUAGUUUCCUCAUUAGGAAGCAGAAGUAAACUGUUUAUUAUCCCACCUAACUUCUUACAAUUAUAAAGACGAAGUGAGAGGAUCUGUAUACAGUGUUCAGAGCGGUAAUUGACACUGGGGGAAUACUCAGUAAAAGGGAGCUGUCAUCUGCCUGCAGUCAUGGUAGACACCAGAAGCAUAAGACUAAGUAGGUUUCUAAAAACACCUUUCUUGGAAGUAGAUAUUGUCUUUUUUUUUUUUAAUAUUUUGGAAUGGGAAGUUCAGUCCCGAAUGGUUGAUCAAAGAUAAAAUCCAAAACUAUUAGGCACUCGUGUCCUCAGAACUAUGCUACAUGCUAAGGAGGAUGCAAAUGACCCCAAAACACAUUUUUGUCCUGAAGAAAUUUAUAUUUAGGGCAUCAAGGCAAUAACAGAUAGAAAUAAUUAAAUAGUUAAAGACCGAUACAAUGAUUUAAAACCACUAUAAAAGAAAUGUCAUAAUUAGUAUUUGGUAGUCUAACUACCAAAACAGCCUUUGGAACUUUAAAACAGCCUUUGGAAUUUUACUGUUGACUUAAAUUAUUUAUAUUAUUACAUAACUUAAAUAUGUACAAACAUAAACCAGGUAUAAUCCGUAGGCUUUUAGCUCUUACAUGGUUAUAAACCCAAAAUAAAUUUAUAAAUUAAAUAUGAAAAAAUAACCAAGGCCACAAUUUCCAAUUAACAGCCAUCAGUUUAACAUGGUAAGUAACGUUGUUUUACUGAAAUUAAAUUGACAUAGAUUUUUUUUGGUUUCUAUGACUGUGUGCUAAGUGAUAACUUUAUUUUCCAUGCGCUUUUUCUUUUUGAACCAAUGGUAAUUAUUUCUGCAUGUAGAAUACUUUGCUUUCAUUUAGAUUUCACUUAAUGCAAAGGCAUCAUUUGCACGUUGUCUGCCUAUGCUCUUGUCUUAUUAGUUUAUUAUGAUUAAAGUGGUACUAGUUGGAGUCAUAAACUCAAUUUGGCUCUGAAAAUAUAAAGCAAUUCCCAGUUAUAAAGUAUUCAUCAGAUGAUCUAGAGCAUGCCUAUAUGUGUCAGUUUAUCACUGCAACAAAACACACGCAAAUGCAGUCACAAAUACUAUGCAGUCACAAAUAAGUCCUCACAGAGAACUAAUGGUACCUGAGUAUAUGUCUGAGAUUGAGUAAGAUUGUAGUUGAUCACUAAAGGUCAUUUUACAAUCAGAAAAUAUAAGUGUUAUAGAAACUCAGAGAGGAAAGAUCAUUUUGUGUUGAUAUGAGUUAAGUAAGUUUUAUGGAAAAGACAAGACUUUGGAGACUAGUUAUUGUGGUGUAAGAUACAUUUAGUCAUGGUCUUAGAGGCAGGUAUGUAGGUGAUGGAAGAUGAGGUCUUACCUAAAUAGGAUUUUAUUCUUUAAUCUUUGGAUUUCUGAAAUAGCAUGCAGAAUUCACGUGACAAAGAGAGAGAAUGCAGGACUGUACACUGUUGGGAGAAGAAUUAGAUUUAUUGGAAGUUACCUAAUUAAAAGUAUAAAGAAUUUAGGUUUUCUCCCUUGUGAUACAAUUAGGCAGUGGCUCUAUGAUUCAUAAAGCAGCUCAUUUUAGGGGAAACACUGUUUUCAAGGGAAUAUUUCUGUUGUGACCAGAAAGAUUUUGUGUUUCUUGGACUCGCUAGCCUUGAAAUGCCCUAGUUAUUGACCAAAGGAGAGAAUGUUUGCUUUCAUACUACAGACCCUUGUGGUCCUUCUCUGUAUUGAUUUCCCCCUUCUCUAGCCUAUGUUGAGCUUUGAAAUCAGUAAGAACACUAGUAUAUCAUGUAUUCACAGUCCGGAAUUCUUGCACUAAGGGGAUAUGUCUGCUGAAUAACUGUAGAAGAUAGUUUAUAAGUUGUUAGUUUUUAGUUAUGGGCUGAAUUAAGAGCCCCCCCUCCCAAUUCAUAUGUUAACCCUCCAGUUGUGACUGUAUCUCAAGACAGUCUUUAUGAGGUGAUUAAAGUUAACUGAGAUCACAGGAUGGGGCCCUAAUGUGACAGAAUUGGUGGCUUUAUAUGAAGAGGAAUCUCUCUCCACUCUCCUUCCCCCGGCCACCACGUGAGGACAAAGCAACAAGGCAGAAGGCAGCCAUCUGUAAGCCAAGAAGAGAACCUAGCUAGAACCUAACUAUGCUGACACUCUGAUCUUGGAUUCCUAGCCUCUAGGACAAAUAAAUGACUAUUUCUUAAGCCACAUGGGCUCUAUUUUAUUAUGGCAGCCUGAACUGACCAUACAGUAUUAAACAAAAUUACUUCUGACCUGCACUGUUUCCUCUUAUUUUCAUUUUCUUUGAUACAUAUUCCUUUGUCUAGCAAUAAGGUCUCCCUGUUGAGAGCAUGGACGAUGGUAUGAUAAUUUUGCCUGGUUUGGUUUUAUUCCAGACCGUCUUAUAAAGGCAAGAAGCUAUGUUUCAGUUGACCUCUAGAAUUUUAUUUGCAGAACAAUUUCCGGGUGGCAUAAGACCGUAUUCACUGGUGAAAUAUGGUUCUUGUUUCUGGCAAAAUUUGCAAAAUUGCUCCAGGUGCAGGGUGAGUUCUUUUGCCUAGGGAGAGGAGAAAUUUCACAGGUUUCAUUUUGUGAAACUUAAUUCAUGCCUCUAAAAAACUAUAAAAUAUGGAGACUAAAUAUAGUCUGUCAAGGGUAUGAAAUGUGAAUGAACAGCAGCAGAAACCAAAUUUGUAGAAGAGAAAAUGAUCUGAACCAGAAGCUUUGGGCUUAUUUAAAUUCUCCACGUUACAUUCCCAGACAUCUGCCUGAACAACAGAAUGAAAUUCCUGAUUAUGGAAAUGGGAGGACGCAAGUGUGGGGCCUGCUUGUCUCUGGGCUUUCAGGCAGGCGUUGUCGCAGGUUUAAUGGACCUUUUCUCUGGCCGUGGAUUGUCAGUCAAAGCACUGUCAGAGGAGUGACUUCUGAUGGGAAACUGCAGGAACCUUUGGGGAGGGGGAGGGUCAGAACUCCCUCAGAAGAGGAGCAGCCCUGGCUCUGCACGCUUUGCCCACCCACCCUCAGCUUUAACACCUUUCACUUCAUUGCUCACGAUGUGAUCGACCACAGGGUGACUGUUUACGUUUGGAUUCAGAUUGUUUCUGAAACGUAUAUCAGGUCAAUCGUGCACUAUUUGCAUCCUAGAAAAGAAAGCAGAGCAAAGCAAAGUGACAAGCCUUUAGCUCCCACCCAGGGAGGAGUUCCUGAUGGAGGGUUUUAGGUUAAGGUCAAUCUGGAUGGGGCAAAGGGUGAGCAUAUUUGCAGGUAUGAAACUUAGUCCAUCAAGGAAGCUCCCGUCGAACCACAAGGUUGAAAUACUCCUUUACACUGAGGUUGUAUUUAAUUUCAGGGCCUUAUUUAGUGCUGAAGAUAAUCCAAAGCGCUCAUAUAUGAUACAGGCGGUCCUCUAUCUUUAUUAGUGUUUAGGUUGAUCUUUCCCAUCUGAUUUUCAGUGGAGUCCACCAGGGACCUAUUCUGAAGUUGCUUGGGGUCCGGAUCUCCCUGGUUUCACCAUCGUGACCCUUUCAGGGGCACGAGUCAUGCUGCUGUGCCCAUGGAGCAUGGGCUGUGAAGCCUGGGGGCCCUCUGCAGCCCUUCAUUGCCUCCCUGCUGUGCCAAGGCACUCAGGAAUCACUCCCCUGCUCCCUGGGGCUGUGCAGGCUUGUGUGCCAAGGCACAUCAUCAGGAUAUCUGUGCUCAGAUGUCUUUCUGCUUUUCUGAUUAAAAGAUGGGCAUCAGUCCCCUCUGAAUUCAGAUCCCCCAGACCAACCUGAUAUGUCUUCUGACUCUGCCCCAUGUCUGGACUUCCAGUUCAUAAUUCCCCCUCCUAAUUCUCAACUCUGGUAACCCAGGAUAACUAUUCAUUAUUUGCUGCCCCUCUGACUCCCCUCCCCUGAAGCUCUGCCAACAACCAAUCUUGAUACCUGUGGAUUCUUUAAUCCUGAUCUU
rnacentral:lncRNA from 1 species